CAUUCCUACGGGACGCAGCAGUGGGGGAUAUUGCACAAUGGGGGGAACCCUGAUGCAGCGACGCCGCGUGGGUGAAGAAGCGCCUCGGCGCGUAAAGCCCUGUCAGCAGGGAAGAAAAUGACGGUACCUGAAGAAGAAGCCCCGGCUAACUACGUGCCAGCAGCCGCGGUAAUACGUAGGGAGCAAGCGUUAUCCGGAUUUAUUGGGUGUAAAGGGUGCGUAGACGGGAAAUUAAGUUAGUUGUGAAAUCCCUCGGCUUAACUGAGGAACUGCAACUAAAACUGAUUUUCUUGAGUGUUGGAGAG
rnacentral:rRNA from 1 species